rnacentral:rRNA from 1 species
GUGUGGAUAGGGGAGAAAUUCCAAUCGAACCCGGAGAUAGCUGGUUCUCCUCGAAAUAGCUUUAGGGCUAGCCUCAUGCAAGUCUUACGGAGGUAGAGCACUGAAUUCCUAAGGGGGCGUCAAAGCUUACCAAGGGAUAUCAAACUCCGAAUGCCGUGUAGAUGGUGCAUGGGAGUCAGACUAUCCGAGAUAAGUUGGGUAGUCAAAAGGGAAAGAGCCCAGACCUACAGCUAAGGUCCCAAAAUGUGUGUUAAGUGGAAAAGGAUGUGGGAUUUCGAAGACAACUAGGAUGUUGGCUUAGAAGCAGCCAUCCAUUAAAAGAGUGCGUAAUAGCUCACUAGUCGAGAGGUCCUGCGCCGAAAAUGUCCGGGGCUGAAACACACUACCGAAGCUUGGGAAUUGACGAAUGUUAAUUGGUAGAGGAGCAUUCUUAACGGGGCGAAGCUGUACCGGAAGGAGCAGUGGACUGUUAAGAAGAGAGAAUGCCGGAAUGAGUAGCGAGAGGAAGGUGAGAAUCCUUCCGGCCGAAUAUCUAAGGUUUCCAGAGUAAAGCUGAUCUGCUCUGGGUAAGUCGGGGCCUAAGGCGAGGUCGAAAGACGUAGUCGAUGGAUAACAGGUAAAGAUUCCUGUACUAUAUCAUAACAGAACUGUGGGGACGCAGACAGAGAGCAUAAGCCGGGAAUGGAAAAACCGGUACAAGCGAGGUAGGAGUGCAUCAGGCAAAUCCGGUGCACAAUCUGAAGACGUGAUGUGGGGCGUAAAGCCGGAAGUAUGUGAGCUGGCUGCCAAGAAAAGCCGCUAUUGUUUAUGAUAUACCCGUACCGUAAACCGACACAGGUGGAUGAGGAGAGAAUCCUAAGGCCGACGGGAGAAGCAUUGUUAAGGAACUCGGCAAAAUGACUCCGUAACUUCGGGAGAAGGAGUGCCAUGUAAAAGUGGCCGCAGAGAAUUGGCCCAAGCAACUGUUUAGCAAAAACACAGGUCUAUGCAAAACCGAAAGGUGAGGUAUAUGGGCUGACGCCUGCCCGGUGCUGGAAGGUUAAGGGGAGAGGUUAGUCGUAAGGCGAAGCUUUGAACUUAAGCCCCAGUAAACGGCGGCCGUAACUAUAACGGUCCUAAGGUAGCGAAAUUCCUUGUCGGGUAAGUUCCGACCC